rfam:Stegodyphus mimosarum contig28698, whole genome shotgun sequence.
GCCUUCGUGGUGUAGUGGUCAGCACACUCGGAGCGUAUUCGAGAGGUCCGUGGUUCGAGUCCCGGCCAUGGUA